rfam:Brassica napus, WGS project CCCW01000000 data, contig: 1285
AAUCCAUGGUGAGGACAUUCUCUGCGAUAGUCAUUGAAACGCUCCCAUGCGUCGAAGAAAGGCUCAUCAAUGAGAUG